AGCUGGUCUCACGGUUACUGGAUACGAUAGGUCUUAAGAGUACUGCAGCCUCCCUUAGGGUGUUGGGGACUUGCUGGAGUAUGAGAAAAGUUUAGAAGAAAUAUGAAAGUCUUACUCACUCUAGGAUUUUUCAACCUAAAGCAAAAUCCUCUGCAUCCGCCUUUUUCACGUUAGACACGUUCAUUCCUAACAGACUCGAGGAAGCAGUUCAGCUGCGGUGGGACUAGGGGAAGACGAGGUGGCAGAAACACUCAUCAUUUCAAGUAGAAUAGACUGCUGGUUAAAAGUGGAGAUUCUGGAGCCAACCGAGCCCCUACUGUGUGCAGGUCCUAAGGUUAUAGUAGUGGGAAAAGACCCCUCUUCUCACGGAGCUUGUAUUUGUGGGGAAGAGACAAAAGAUAAAAUGAGGAGUUCCUGUUGUGGCUUAGCGGUUACCAAACCCGACUAGCAUCCACGAGGAUGCAGGUUCGAUCCCUGGCAUCGCUCAGUGGAUUAAGGAUCCGGUGUUGCCGUGAGCUGUGGUGUAGCUUGCAGAUGCGGGUCAGAUCCACAUUGUUUGUGGCUGUGGUGUAGGCCGGCAGCUGUAGCUCCGAUUUGACCCCUAGCCUGGGAACCUCCAUAUGCUGCGGGUGCGGCCCUAAAAAGCAAAUAAAUAAAUAAAUAAAUAAAACGAAGAGUAAGGGACAUAAUAUCUGAGCAGAUUGUAAGUGCUUGGAGAAAGAUCUGUUCGAGAAGGGGGAAGAGAGUGCUGGUUAUCCCUUUUCUUGGGUCUGUGUGAAAUUUUCAUGAUUUGACUUUUUUAUGUGCCAGCUUCUAAUUCUUGGGCUGCCCUGAUGUUCCUGUACUAACUCUCUCUCUCUCUUUUUUCCAGGCAAGAGCAGACCUUGCACUUUGCAGUUGGUGUGGACAAAGUAUGUAGCCACCAAAAUGGCAUGGAAUUAAGAGUAAAUAAAGAAAAUCAGUGAAAAGAGAAGAGAAAAAACAAAAGAAAUGAACUAUUUGGAGGGAGGCUGGGUCCACGCGUCUGCAUCACGCUUAGAGUCUGGGCUCACCGGAAGCUGUUCACCAGUCCCCGACUGUCUGACGUCUGCCUGGAACUGUGGCAACUCCGGCUCUAGGAAGAGAAAGGGAGCCUAAUAGACAGGGACAGAAUCGAUUGGGCAAACUGUCUGAACUUCCAGUUGAUGUUUAAAAUACCUCCUCUCCUCCAAAUCACGUAAGAAGGUCUUCACAUUGUGAGAGUCUGACAAUGGGUAAGUAAGUCAACAGCCAAGGGCAGCUCUUUGGAAUUUUCCUUUAACAUCUGGAGGAAGCAAA
ensembl:lncRNA